GGGUUGUGAGGUUAAGCGACUAAGCGUACACGGUGGAUGCCCUGGCAGUCAGAGGCGAUGAAGGACGUGCUAAUCUGCGAAAAGCGUCGGUAAGGUGAUAUGAACCGUUAUAGCCGGCGAUGUCCGAAUGGGGAAACCCAGUGCAAUUCGUUGCACUAUCGUUAACUGAAUACAUAGGUUAACGAGGCGAACCGGGGGAACUGAAACAUCUAAGUACCCCGAGGAAAAGAAAUCAACCGAGAUUCCCCCAGUAGCGGCGAGCGAACGGGGAGCAGCCCAGAGUCUGAAUCAGCUUGUGUGUUAGUGGAACGGUCUGGAAAGUCCGACGGUACAGGGUGAUAGUCCCGUACACCAAAAUGCACAGGUUGUGAACUCGAAGAGUAGGGCGGGACACGUGGUAUCCUGUCUGAAUAUGGGGGGACCAUCCUCCAAGGCUAAAUACUCCUGACUGACCGAUAGUGAACCAGUACCGUGAGGGAAAGGCGAAAAGAACCCCGGCGAGGGGAGUGAAAAAGAACCUGAAACCGUGUACGUACAAGCAGUGGGAGCACCUUCGGGUGUGACUGCGUACCUUUUGUAUAAUGGGUCAGCGACUUAUAUUCUGUAGCAAGGUUAACCGUAUAGGGGAGCCGCAGGGAAACCGAGUCUUAACUGGGCGUUAAGUUGCAGGGUAUAGACCCGAAACCCGGUGAUCUAGCCAUGGGCAGGUUGAAGGUUGGGUAACACUAACUGGAGGACCGAACCGACUAAUGUUGAAAAAUUAGCGGAUGACUUGUGGCUGGGGGUGAAAGGCCAAUCAAACCGGGAGAUAGCUGGUUCUCCCCGAAAGCUAUUUAGGUAGCGCCUCGUGAACUCAUCUUCGGGGGUAGAGCACUGUUUCGGCUAGGGGGUCAUCCCGACUUACCAACCCGAUGCAAACUACGAAUACCGAAGAAUGUUAUCACGGGAGACACACGGCGGGUGCUAACGUCCGUCGUGAAGAGGGAAACAACCCAGACCGCCAGCUAAGGUCCCAAAGUCAUGGUUAAGUGGGAAACGAUGUGGGAAGGCACAGACAGCCAGGAUGUUGGCUUAGAAGCAGCCAUCAUUUAAAGAAAGCGUAAUAGCUCACUGGUCGAGUCGGCCUGCGCGGAAGAUGUAACGGGGCUAAACCAUGCACCGAAGCUGCGGCAGCGACACUAUGUGUUGUUGGGUAGGGGAGCGUUCUGUAAGCCUGCGAAGGUGACCUGUGAGGGUUGCUGGAGGUAUCAGAAGUGCGAAUGCUGACAUAAGUAACGAUAAAGCGGGUGAAAAGCCCGCUCGCCGGAAGACCAAGGGUUCCUGUCCAACGUUAAUCGGGGCAGGGUGAGUCGACCCCUAAGGCGAGGCCGAAAGGCGUAGUCGAUGGGAAACAGGUUAAUAUUCCUGUACUUGGUGUUACUGCGAAGGGGGGACGGAGAAGGCUAUGUUAGCCGGGCGACGGUUGUCCCGGUUUAAGCAUGUAGGCUGAUUGUCCAGGCAAAUCCGGAUAAUCAAGGCUGAGGUGUGAUGACGAGGCACUACGGUGCUGAAGUAACAAAUGCCCUGCUUCCAGGAAAAGCCUCUAAGCAUCAGGUAACAUCAAAUCGUACCCCAAACCGACACAGGUGGUCAGGUAGAGAAUACCAAGGCGCUUGAGAGAACUCGGGUGAAGGAACUAGGCAAAAUGGUGCCGUAACUUCGGGAGAAGGCACGCUGGUGUGUAGGUGAAGUCCCUGCGGAUGGAGCUGAGACCAGUCGAAGAUACCAGCUGGCUGCAACUGUUUAUUAAAAACACAGCACUGUGCAAACACGAAAGUGGACGUAUACGGUGUGACGCCUGCCCGGUGCCGGAAGGUUAAUUGAUGGGGUUAUCCGUAAGGAGAAGCUCUUGAUCGAAGCCCCGGUAAACGGCGGCCGUAACUAUAACGGUCCUAAGGUAGCGAAAUUCCUUGUCGGGUAAGUUCCGACCUGCACGAAUGGCGUAAUGAUGGCCAGGCUGUCUCCACCCGAGACUCAGUGAAAUUGAACUCGCUGUGAAGAUGCAGUGUACCCGCGGCAAGACGGAAAGACCCCGUGAACCUUUACUAUAGCUUGACACUGAACAUUGAGCCUUGAUGUGUAGGAUAGGUGGGAGGCUUUGAAGCGUGGACGCCAGUCUGCGUGGAGCCAACCUUGAAAUACCACCCUUUAAUGUUUGAUGUUCUAACGUUGGCCCCUGACCGGGGUUGCGGACAGUGUCUGGUGGGUAGUUUGACUGGGGCGGUCUCCUCCCAAAGCGUAACGGAGGAGCACGAAGGUUAGCUAAUCCUGGUCGGACAUCAGGAGGUUAGUGCAAUGGCAUAAGCUAGCUUGACUGCGAGCGUGACGGCGCGAGCAGGUGCGAAAGCAGGUCAUAGUGAUCCGGUGGUUCUGAAUGGAAGGGCCAUCGCUCAACGGAUAAAAGGUACUCCGGGGAUAACAGGCUGAUACCGCCCAAGAGUUCAUAUCGACGGCGGUGUUUGGCACCUCGAUGUCGGCUCAUCACAUCCUGGGGCUGAAGUAGGUCCCAAGGGUAUGGCUGUUCGCCAUUUAAAGUGGUACGCGAGCUGGGUUUAGAACGUCGUGAGACAGUUCGGUCCCUAUCUGCCGUGGGCGCUGGAGAAUUGAGGGGGGCUGCUCCUAGUACGAGAGGACCGGAGUGGACGCAUCACUGGUGUUCGGGUUGUCAUGCCAAUGGCACUGCCCGGUAGCUAAAUGCGGAAGAGAUAAGUGCUGAAAGCAUCUAAGCACGAAACUUGCCCCGAGAUGAGUUCUCCCUGAGACUUUAAGUCUCCUGAAGGAACGUUGAAGACGACGACGUUGAUAGGCCGGGUGUGUAAGCGCAGCGAUGCGUUGAGCUAACCGGUACUAAUGAACCGUGAGGCUUAACCUUACAACGCCGAAG
rnacentral:rRNA from 1 species